rnacentral:miRNA from 7 species
UGAGACCUCUGGGUUCUGAGCU